GGGAAGGGGAGCUCAGGGAUGGGGAGCGAAAGUUGGGCAUGCUAUGCUGAAGGGCAGCCGGCGUUUUGACAGCUGAAUGCCGCUUAUCUAUCAGCGAUCGCUCGGUGUCGUUGGGGAGAGCAUCAGUAAGAAGCCGGGAGCUGAGGACUGCGCUUAUUCGUAUCAAAAGUAGUAAAACCGCGUUCAGCCGUGCCUUUAACGCGGAAGCGUGGCUCACAGAGAGCGGCGCCAGCAGAUGAUUUUCCUUCCUGGUCCAAAUGGAAGCCACUCGCAGCAUUCUGCUGAUGAGGACCAUCGGCGGGUCACAUUUAUCUCAAACAGCUGACAGAAUCCAGAAAACAUGUACAUGUCACUGAAGGAAGAUUUUUACCGGACUUGACGUCCUCAGGAGUACUUUGCAACUAAAAAUAAAUCCUGUUAAAGUUGUUUUUAAGCAGAUAAAUAUUAAAAAAAAAAAAAAAAAAACAAACUUCGGACACCUUUUUACAUUUUCAUUCCUUAGACUGAAUGAAAUAGAAAAGAACAAAAUAAAAAAAAAAGGAGAACUUCAGUGCAGAUAAGUGAACGAGCUUUUAAAAGUACUUUAUUCCAAUCUACAGCGCUAUUAGCAACUGCAAGUAAAUAUGUCUGUUUAUGACUUGUGAUUUUGAAUUGGCAUUGUCCCAUAAAUUAUGAGAGCAAAUGCAGACCAAGCUGUUGGAUCCACAACCUGCAACUGAUAUACAAGCUGUGCUUCAGCACCACUGCUGCACUGAGAUAAGCAUAUGUAGUAAAUAGUAGAAGGAUAUGCUCCAAUAUGCAAACUCUAUUAAAGGCGCUUGCUCUGGAUUUACAGGAAGGAGGAACGGAAGAAUAAUGAACUUUCCAAACAUCUCGUAUGAAAUAGAAAUAAAAUAAGAGCUUGUAGUUACUUAAGUGAGCUUCUCAGAGGAAUCAGAGGAAGAAGAUCCUCUUCUGUCUUGUUGUGGACUCAAUUUCUUCCCAUUUCUUCUCUGGUUUCUUCUUGCGCCAAAUUGUUCAGGAG
rnacentral:lncRNA from 1 species